rnacentral:rRNA from 1 species
GGUGUUGCAUGGCUGUCGUCAGCUCGUGUCGUGAGAUGUUGGGUUAAGUCCCGCAACGAGCGCAACCCUCAUCCUUAGUUACCAUCAGGUAAUGCUGGGGACUUUAAGGAAACUGCCAGUGAUAAACUGGAGGAAGGUGGGGAUGAUGUCAAGUCCUCAUGGCCCUUAUGGAGUGGGCUACACACGUGCUACAAUGGUGGCUACAAUGGGCUGCAAAGUCGCGAGGCUAAGCUAAUCCCUUAAAAGCCAUCUCAGUUCGGAUUGUACUCUGCAACUCGAGUGCAUGAAGUUGGAAUCGCUAGUAAUCGUGGAUCAGCACGCCACGGUGAAUACGUUCCCGGGUCUUGUACACAC